GACGAACGCUGGCGGCGUGCUUAACACAUGCAAGUCGAGCGGUAAGGCCCUUUCGGGGGUACACGAGCGGCGAACGGGUGAGUAACACGUGGGUGACCUGCCCUCAGCUCUGGGAUAAGCCUGGGAAACUGGGUCUAAUACUGGAUAUGACUCCACGGUGCAUGUCGUGGGGUGGAAAGCCUUGUGCGGCUGAGGAUGGGCCCGCGGCCUAUCAGCUUGUUGGUGGGGGAUGGCCUACCAAGGCGACGACGGGUAGCCGGCCUGAGAGGGCGACCGGCCACACUGGGACUGAGACACGGCCCAGACUCCUACGGGAGGCAGCAGUGGGGAAUUGUUCGCAAUGGGCGCAAGCCUGACGACGCAACGCCGCGUGGAGGAUGAAGGUCUUCGGAUUGUAAACUCCUGUUGCCCGGGACGAAAAGCUCCGACCCAAUACGUCGGAGUCUGGCGGUACCGGGUGAGGAAGCCCCGGCUAACUCUGUGCCAG
rnacentral:rRNA from 1 species